rnacentral:rRNA from 1 species
UACGUAGGGUCCGAGCGUUGUCCGGAAUUAUUGGGCGUAAAGGGCUCGUAGGCGGUUCGUCACGUCGGGAGUGAAAACUCGGGGCUUAACCCCGAGCCUGCUUCCGAUACGGGCAGACUAGAGGUAGGCAGGGGAGAGCGGAAUUCCUGGUGUAGCGGUGAAAUGCGUAGAUAUCGGGAGGAACACCAGUGGCGAAGGCGACUACCUGGCCUGUUUCUUGACGCUGAGGCGCGAAAGCUAGGGGAGCAAACGGG